UUUAAUGAGAGUUUGAUCCUGGCUCAGGACGAACGCUGGCGGCGUGCCUAAUACAUGCAAGUAGAACGCUGAAGGAGGAGCUUGCUUCUCUGGAUGAGUUGCGAACGGGUGAGUAACGCGUAGGUAACCUGCCUGGUAGCGGGGGAUAACUAUUGGAAACGAUAGCUAAUACCGCAUAAGAGUAGAU
rnacentral:rRNA from 1 species